rnacentral:antisense_RNA from 1 species
CUUCAACGAGCCCAGCCAGAGCGGCUGCUGCUCCGGCCGGUCCGGGCCGUAGACGGCCAGCAGCGCCUGUGCCUC